rnacentral:lncRNA from 1 species
GUAUAGAGGCCUUGGAAGCCGGGCUGACAAAUUUGACCCAUCAUUUUGGGUAAGAGGGAGCUGCUGUGGCUUUAAGAUGGGAAGAAGAGAAAGAAGUAGAAAUCUGCCGUGCAAUCCAGACCUGAGAUAAAGAAGACACGGUCCCAGGUGGAGGCAGGGGUGGUGUGGAAGACAUGGCUAGGUGAGGAGCUAUUUGUAAAGACAGACUUAGAGAUGACGAAGCAAAGAUGAGCUGGUUGGAAAGGGCACUGACUAGGGCCCCUACAGGGAGUGACAAGGCAUCUUUUGGACAAAGUCCAUUGGUGAACUCUGGAAGAAGCCAGCUGCAUCUGAUCUGUCCUCGAAUCCCUGAGGCCGAGCCUGGUGCCCAGAACAUAGAACAAGCUCGGGAUACAUGUCCCAGGCUUGAGCGGAAGGGAGGCAAGUUGAGGGUUUUGGUGAUGCAGCCUGGAGGCUGUGCACCACAGGAGGUCCACAGCAAGACUGUGAGUGACCCUGUGGGAGAGGACAGUCGUGUGCUUCCCUCCUGGGGUUGCAGAGGAAGCACAACCAAGCCAGGAGUCCGAAGAGGAGCAGCACAAAGAUGGAAUGGAAGUCAGGGAAUUUCUCAUUGCUGGGAACUAAAUGACUGAUUUAAGGAAGGCCGGAUGGUUGAGCAUCUGAGGACACAGAGACUCACAUAACUACAUCUCGGGAUCCUCCGGGUACUACGUUAACUCUCAGGCUUGGUUUUUGGACUUUCCAGAUGCAACACUCAACUCGAUGACUGAAUCUCCCAUCUUUCCCCAACUGCCAGGUCCUCAGCCUGAGAGAGAGACAGCCCCUACAGCAAUUUCUUCCUCACUGCUCUGGACAUCAGCCCCGUGUGAGUCACCUAGCACCCGACCCUGGCAGGUCCCAAUCCAGGAGGAGGCAAUGACCACACAGCAUGUCAGAUGCUAGGUGGAAAGAGCAAGGUGGAACAAGUGGGGUAGGGGCAGGGCCACAGAGAGAAUGUCGUGGAUGGCUUCCUGGCUGACAGGACGUGAGUGAGUCCUCCUGACUGUUGAAUAAAAGAAGUCCAGUGAAGAAGGUGGUGGAGGAGAUGAACAUGGAUAUGGACGAUGAUGACUGGGCCACGAGGAAGGUCACCAGAGAGCCCAGGAUGAGAUUCAGCCAUAUGCCUAGGGAAAGGUUCCUUCCACCAGUGAAACCUGCACUGGAGGAGACAGAGCAGGAGAGCAGAGGGCUGGGUUGACCCAGAAGUGGGGCUUUUCUGGACAUUAAGGGAGGCUGAUAGGGCAGGAGCAAGGCUGUGAGAAGUCUGGCAGACUAGGAAAUCAUGGAAAGGUUACGAGGGUCAUUUAUGGGUGGCUUCCAGGUAGGUGGCACUUUGGUCCCUGUUUUCUGCCAAUAUCCUCCAUAUUUUCCUCUGAGUAAUUGCCUUUUUCCUAUUUUCAAUCUUUGUCCUUUGGUGGAGUUGACUCCACCAAGGGUGGGGUCUUGGUGCCACUCAGGCACCUUACACUGUGGUGUAAGGAGCUGCCUCUCUCUUCCUCUGUUUGGGGCUGUGGCAUUAGAAUGUGAGUUAUGGGAGCUGCUCUCGCCAUUUGCAACCACAGGGUGUGCACAGGGGUGGCUGGAGGUGAUGCCAUAGAAAGAAUGAAGGUGGAGCUUCCCUUCAGGGCACUCCCUGUCCAGGUAUACAGAACCCAUCAUUGAGAUAUCAAAUAGCUGCAUCAAAACUUGCCUGAAGUGUGUUUGUUCCCCUGUUCUUUUGCCAAAUGGAGCUAGGCAGGCGGCAUACCCCACCCUCCCGGGCUCAGCAAUUGGUCCUCAAGAGCUGGGUGCUUCACUUAAGUUCUUCUUUCAGUGGUUGCCAAGGACAUUGGAAAAGAGAGUUCACAUAUUCUCAAAGGAGAAAGAACUUAAGAACCAUGGGAUCCUGGACCUGCCAGUAGCCAUCUCUGCCUCCUGGACCACGUGAUCCUCGACCUGCCAGUAGCCAUCUCUGGGUCCUGGACCAUGUCAUCCUGGACCCGCUAGUAGUCAUCUCUGCCUUCUGGAUCAUGUGAUCCUGGACCCUCCAGUAGUCAUCUCUACCUCUUGAACCAUGUGAGUCUGAACCCACUAAUAGCCUUCUCUGCUUCCUGAACCAUGUGAUCCUGGACCUGCCAAUAGUUAUCUCUGCCUCCUGGACCAUGUGAUGCUGAAUCCGCAAAUAGUCAUCUCUGCCUCCUGAACCAUGUGAUGCUGGACCUGCCAAUAGUCAUCUCUGCUUCCUGUGGACAGAUCCAGAUGGAUAAUGAAAACUAUGCAGAGGAAAGUUCAGUAGAGUGAGGGAGACCGCGUGAGUCGAUAAACACCCUCUGUGCUUCAGUUAUUUUGAGUUGGGUUUUCUGUUACUUGAAACAAAUCUGUCCAAAUAAUAUGCUUAGACUGGAGCAGUUGUGAAGUCCAGAGUGGGAGGCAGAAUGUGGGUGAUGGGGAGGGAAUAAGGACUUACCUGGGGUUUCAUCAUUGCCUGGAAAGGUUGUGAAUUUGGGUCUUGUUCACUCCCAGGCGUGACUGCUGCGCAGCUCACCAGCCUGGCUGUACAUUGCCAUGCCAGGUACCGCACUGGUGAUUAAGAUUCAGGGGCAGACUCCCACUUUCCAAAUGAGGAUUUUCUCCUCUUUUAUGCAUACUCAUCCACAAACUCCAAAAAAAGUUUCAUCUAUAGAUGUGAAAAUUCAAUCUGAGUAUGGUGCCCAUAUUGAAUCAACACAGCUGGGGUUAAUUAGAAUUUGGAAACAAGAAUGAUUUGUUCUAAUAAUGAUCAUGAUGCUGUCAUUUUCCAAGUGACCAAAAUCUACUAAUUUUAUCUUGAACCAAGGAAUAAAAGGUAUAUUCUAAAUGUAUCCUGCCCCUCAGCUUUGUGAAAAAAUUAAGAUGUACUUAUCUUGAUUAAACAUUGGUUUAUCUUUUGGUAACUAUCUUGAAAUGCAAAUAAAACUUGAUAGAGAGUUA